rnacentral:rRNA from 1 species
UACAGAGGUCUCAAGCGUUGUUCGGAUUCAUUGGGCGUAAAGGGUGCGUAGGUGGCGGGGUAAGUCAGGUGUGAAAUCUCGGGGCUCGACCCCGAAACUGCAUUCGAUACUGCGGUGCUUGAGGACUGGAUAGGAGACUGGAAUUUAUGGUGUAGCAGUGAAAUGCGUAGAGAUCAUAAGGAAGACCAGUGGCGAAGGCGGUCACCUGGUCCGGUACUGACGCUGAGGUGCGAAAGCGUGGGGAGCAAACAGG